rnacentral:rRNA from 1 species
GGGGUCCUACGGGGGGCAGCAGUGGGGGAUAUUGCACAAUGGAGGAAACUCUGAUGCAGCGACGCCGCGUGAGGGAAGACGGUCUUCGGAUUGUAAACCUCUGUCUUUGGGGAAGAAAAUGACGGUACCUGACUAAGAAGCCCCGGCUAAAUACGUGCCAGCAGCCGCGGUAAUACGUAUGGGGCAAGCGUUAUCCGGAUUUACUGGGUGUAAAGGGAGCGUAGGCGGCCUGGCAAGCCUGAUGUGAAAUACCGGGGCCCAACCCCGGGGCUGCAUUGGGAACUGCCAGGCUGGAGUGCCGGAGG